rnacentral:rRNA from 1 species
GUGGGGGAUAUUGGUCAAUGGGGGAAACCCUGAACCAGCGACGCCGCGUGAGGGAAGAAGGUCUUCGGAUUGUAAACCUCUGUCUUAGGGGAAGAUAAUGACGGUACCCUAGGAGGAAGCCACGGCUAACUACGUGCCAGCAGCCGCGGUAAUACGUAGGUGGCGAGCGUUGUCCGGAAUUAUUGGGUGUAAAGGGAGCGUAGGCGGGAAGGCAAGUUGAAUGUUAAAACGAUCGGCUCAACCGGUCGCUGCGUUCAAAACUGCAGUUCUUGAGUGUGAUAGAGGUAAGUGGAAUUCCCAGUGUAGCGGUGAAAUGCGUAGAUAUUGGGAGGAACACCAGUGGCGAAGGCGACUUACUGGGUCAUAACUGACGCUGAGGCUCGAAAGCAUGGGUAGCAAACAGGAUUAGAAACCCCGGUAGUCC